UGUUAUUCUAAUGAGUUUCACAGCCAUCUUUCUUCCAUAUAGGCUAUGCCAAUGGUUUAAUUUAAACAGGAGCAGUUCAUAUAGAUAUUGUUGAUGCAUGAACACUUAUUAAUUUCCCUCAUCUCGAUAAAUGCACAACCCCAAUUUCCCCAACUAUAUGUUUAAUUUAUUUUAUCACUUUACUAAUAAACUCUGCCGAAGCCUCUGAGCUCUCCAUAUUACUGGAGUAAAGCUCAGUGGCUGGCCCUGAUAAGAAUGAGCUCAAGAGUUUAGGCCAUUUACAUCUAGUUCAGGGUCCGACUAAUUUUAUACCAAGGUUUGGGUUUACUGAAACUGAAUUCUGUAACCUCUUUAUAGCCAACCUAAAAAUCACUGAAUUUUAUGUUACCCAGGCAGCAGUAUACUUAUAUGUAAAAUCAGGCAGAGAACAGUUGUCUUACAUCUGCACAGUUUGGUAUAUGCCUACAUGACAUAAAUAUUAAGAGUCUUGCGUCAUGUAGGGGAUGAAUUGCGAUAGUGGACUGACAUGGCUGGCGGUUUCCAGCCAUUUAAAACCGGCUGCUACGCAGGUGACUGCUGAUCGCAGACUAGCUAUAUAUUAAAUGCUCAUUUCAAACAAUUCUAUGGAAUAAUUAUGUCAUUCAAUGAUUAAUGACCUGUUCUAUUUCAUACCUAUAGUUGGGAUUGCAGAGAUGUUCAGAUCGAUGGGCUUUUUGUCCGUAUAAUAUAUUUUGUAGAACAAUAACAGGGGGGAUACAAAAAUUUAAAACUGAAAUUUGUUUUUCAAAAAAUUUUCCGUGGUAAACUUGUCGUGG